rnacentral:rRNA from 1 species
CUGGCGGCGUGCCUAAUACAUGCAAGUCGAACGCUUCUUUUUCCACCGGAGCUUGCUCCACCGGAAAAAGAGGAGUGGCGAACGGGUGAGUAACACGUGGGUAACCUGCCCAUCAGAAGGGGAUAACACUUGGAAACAGGUGCUAAUACCGUAUAACAAUCGAAACCGCAUGGUUUUGAUUUGAAAGGCGCUUUCGGGUGUCGCUGAUGGAUGGACCCGCGGUGCAUUAGCUAGUUGGUGAGGUAACGGCUCACCAAGGCGACGAUGCAUAGCCGACCUGAGAGGGUGAUCGGCCACAUUGGGACUGAGACACGGCCCAAACUCCUACGGGAGGCAGCAGUAGGGAAUCUUCGGCAAUGGACGAAAGUCUGACCGAGCAACGCCGCGUGAGUGAAGAAGGUUUUCGGAUCGUAAAACUCUGUUGUUAGAGAAGAACAAGGAUGAGAGUAACUGUUCAUCCCUUGACGGUAUCUAACCAGAAAGCCACGGCUAACUACGUGCCAGCAGCCGCGGUAAUACGUAGGUGGCAAGCGUUGUCCGGAUUUAUUGGGCGUAAAGCGAGCGCAGGCGGUUUCUUAAGUCUGAUGUGAAAGCCCCCGGCUCAACCGGGGGAGGGUCAUUGGAAACUGGGAGACUUGAGUGCAGAAGAGGAGAGUGGAAUUCCAUGUGUAGCGGUGAAAUGCGUAGAUAUAUGGAGGAACACCAGUGGCGAAGGCGGCUCUCUGGUCUGUAACUGACGCUGAGGCUCGAAAGCGUGGGGAGCAAACAGGAUUAGAUACCCUGGUAGUCCACGCCGUAAACGAUGAGUGCUAAGUGUUGGAGGGUUUCCGCCCUUCAGUGCUGCAGCUAACGCAUUAAGCACUCCGCCUGGGGAGUACGACCGCAAGGUUGAAACUCAAAGGAAUUGACGGGGGCCCGCACAAGCGGUGGAGCAUGUGGUU